UACAGAGGGGGCAAGCGCUAUUCGGAAUUAUUGGGCGUAAAGGGCGCGUAGGCGGCUUUGCAAGUGACGGGUGAAAGCCCUCGGCUUAACCGAGGAACUGCCUGUCAGACUGUGAGGCUUGAGACCGGGAGAGGUGAGUGGAAUUCCCAGUGUAGCGGUGAAAUGCGUAGAUAUUGGGAGGAACACCAGUGGCGAAGGCGGCUCACUGGACCGGAACUGACGCUGAGGCGCGAAAGCGUGGGGAGCAAACAGG
rnacentral:rRNA from 1 species